rnacentral:rRNA from 1 species
AUUGAACGCUGGCGGCGUGCCUAACACAUGCAAGUCGAGCGGUAACAGGUGUAGCAAUACAUGCUGACGAGCGGCGAACGGGUGAGUAAUGCUUCGGAAUCUACCCAAUGGUGGGGAAUAACCAGCCGAAAGGUUGGCUAAUACCGCAUACGUCCCACGGGAGAAAGCAGGGGAUCGCAAGACCUUGCGCCAAUGGAUGAGCCGAAGUCGGAUUAGCUAGUUGGAGGGUAACGGCCUACCAAGGCGACGAUCCGUAGCUGGUCUGAGAGGACGACCAGCCACACUGGGACUGAGACACGGCCCAGACUCCUACGGGAGGCAGCAGUGGGGAAUAUUGGACAAUGGGGGAAACCCGUGAUCCAGCGGCGCCGCGUGUGUGAAGAAGGCCUGCGGGUUGU